rnacentral:tRNA from 1 species
CGUCGUUGAAGUAUAGUGGUGAGUAUUCCCGUCUGUCACGCGGGUGAUCCGGGUUCGAUCCCCGGCGACGGCGUC